GACGAACGCUGGCGGCGCGCUUAACACAUGCAAGUCGAGCGGGAACCGGGCCUUCGGGCCCGGGGACAGCGGCGAACGGGUGAGUAACACGUGGGUAAUCUGCCCUCGGUACUGGGAUAGCCCGGGGAAACCCGGAUUAAUACCGGAUAGCCCUUCGAGCCUUCGGGCUCGCAGGCAAAGGUAGCUUCGGCCUCCGACCGAGGAUGAGCCCGCGGCGGAUUAGCUUGUUGGUGGGGUAACGGCCUACCAAGGCGCCGAUCCGUAGCUGGUCUGGGGGGACGAGCAGACACACUGGGACUGAGACACGGCCCAGACUCUUACGGGGGGCAGCAGUGGGGAAUCUUGCCCAAUGGGCGAAGGCCUGAGGCAGCGACGCCGCGUGCGGGAAGAAGGCCCUCGGGUUGUAAACCGCUUUCAGGAGGGACGAAGCCACUCGGGUUAAUAGCCCAGAGGGUGACGGUACCUCCAGAAGAAGCCCCGGCUAACUACGUGCCAGCCGCCGCAGUAAAAC
rnacentral:rRNA from 1 species